UUAUCUGAUUGGACAAAACAGUAAGGCGCAGUUUUGCUCGGAAGAUUCCAACGCAGAGCAGAAAGACGUGACUUUGCUAAGAAUCGAUAUUUUUUUGAAAAUAAACAUGAUCGAUCAUACUAACCGGAAGCGCGGAUCUUUCAGGAUUUUUUUCUUAUUUUUUUCGUUGUUUUGGAUUAAAAUGUGGGAUGCGUCUUAAAGAGUGGACCCUUAUACGUUGCAAUGUAUUCUGGUGUUUCUUGGAUUCGUCCGAAAUGAUCAGAACCGUGAUAUCGAAGUGCAAAAGUCUACGUUCAACGUAGACAAUUAUGGCCCGUCAUUGGCCCAGAGUGUACGUUCACUGUAGACUCUAGGCCAAUCAGAGAGCCGAACCGUCUACGUCCACCUUCCGACUAACUGGUUGGAAAUAGAAUUGAUAAUUGGAAGGAGAAGAUGGAUCCAUUGCUGCCCAAGCUAAGCUUUAUUGACAUAAGUGUGCCAAAAAAUAGGCAACAAUGCCUUCUUAGGGCAACAAAGGAGGCCAAGGCACUGGCGAAUCGAAACACGUGCUUCAAAAAGACAACAGUCGAGGACCAAAAGACGGCUUGUGAGGAAGCUAAAAAGAGAUGUCGGCACUUCACCCUGGA